AUGUGCAAACAUUUCAACAGGUACCUUAUUGUAGUUGAUGACUUGUGGGAUCAAUCAGCAUGGAAUACUAUUAGUUGUGCUUUUCCAGAAAAUGGAAAUGGGAGUAGAAUAAUUGUAACCACACGAGUGGAAGAUGUGGCUGGCAUGGCCUGUCAUAAUGACCGUGAGUGCAUUUACACAAUGAAGCCCCUCAGUGAUGAGAACUCAAGAAUGUUAUUCUCCAAUAGAGUAUUUGGGUCUGAAGUUGUUUGUCCACCCCAUCUUAAAGAAGUUGCGGCUGAAAUUCUGAAGAAGUGUGGUGGUAUGCCGCUUGCAAUUGUCACUAUAGCUAGCCUACUAGCUACUCAAGUGAGAUCAAAGAAACACUGGGAGAGCAUAAGGAAAUCUCUG
rnacentral:rRNA from 1 species